rnacentral:rRNA from 1 species
UACGGAGGGUGCAAGCGUUAUCCGGAUUCACUGGGUUUAAAGGGUGCGUAGGCGGGCAGGUAAGUCCGUGGUGAAAUCUCCAAGCUUAACUUGGAAACUGCCGUGGAUACUAUUUGUCUUGAAUAUAGUGGAGGUGAGCGGAAUAUGUCAUGUAGCGGUGAAAUGCUUAGAUAUGACAUAGAACACCAAUUGCGAAGGCAGCUCGCUACACGAAUAUUGACUCUGAGGCACGAAAGCGUGGGGAGCAAACAGG